AACUCUCUAUUGUGAAAGUAUUCUAAUGCUGUGAUGUGAAAACUUAGUAUAGAAAACUACACUUACAGAUUUACACUAAAUACGUUUGGAUGUAAGCGACAAUUAGUGCUUUGGUUAAAGUAUCAGGUGUUUUUCAGCAGUAAAAUUAGUGGUGGCUUCCUUGAAUGAUAGUAUUUGUUAGA